AGCACGCACAUUAGUAAGGCAUGUCUGCAAAUGAGGAAACUAGACAGAGAGGUUAAGUACUUAGCCCAGUCACAGCACUAGUAGAUGGCGAGUGAAGGGGCAUUUGAACUCAGGCAGGCUCAUGCCAGCGCCUGCACAUCUAGCCAGAAUUCCGCGCUGUCUUUUCUGCUACAACAGUUAUACAGAACCACACGAUCAGGCAGGCUGUGCUAAGUAUUAUAAAUAGCAAAGAAGUACAAAUAAUAAAGGGAUCUGGGAGCCCAACAAAGAGGCAGACUAGCUGGCUUUGCAGUUGGAAGUGUUCCUGGAGGAGACGGAGUGUGAGUGGAGUCCGGAAGCCUGGGGAGGAUUCUGUGAUGGGCUGGGGUCAGAAUGAAGGGAAUGUGGAAGUGAAUACGCAGGGAAUGUUGGAAUUAUGAUGGGAGUCAGGGUUGGCUGGAACGUGGGCUACCAGUGGGGAGAGGAGAGAGAAGGAAGGCUGGGGAGGGUGAACAGAGGUCACCUUCGCCCUUGUGCCCGCCUCGUCAUAUUGCUGAGAGCUUAGGGGUUUCUGAGAAGAGGAGCGGCACUUUCUGAACUGUCUCUCUUCCCAAGAAACUGGAGUCUGCCUAAUACUUCUUCUCCUAUAAAGAGGUGUCCCUCUCCCCCUUCUUCCGAACACCUUUUUCUCUAUUGACCAGGGACUCCCCAAGUUUCUCACAUUUUAAAGUACACGUGCCUGACAGACUUGCCACUCCGGCAAAAAUCACGAGUCUCAGAAGAAGUAAAGCAACUAAAUGCACCUGGAACGACAUAAUUUUCAUGAGCCACAAAGAAUAAAGGAAGGAGGGAAGGAAGACAGAACAAAAAAAGAAGAGAAGAGAAGAACAAGAAAAGGCGCACCCUGCGGAGGCCACAAGGUAUUGAGGAGCCCAGCCUGCAAUCCCCAAAGCUGACAGCUAUUAUGCAUAAUUAGCACAAAGCAAGAUUCUGUAUAUACACACUAUCUCCAGACAUGUUUUUAAAACAAGGGCUCUGCCUUUUACCACCAA